rnacentral:rRNA from 1 species
GCCCAAUGAAUAUAUUAAUGGCCGCGGUAUUAUGACCGUGCGAAGGUAGCAUAAUCAAUAGUCUAUUAAAUGUGGUCUGGAAUGAAUGGUUUGACGAGGGGUAUCUUUUUUAACUUUAUAGUUGAAUUUUAAUUAUUAGUGAAAAUGCUAAUGUGUUUUAGAGGGACGAGAAGACCCUAUAGAGCUUUAUAUAUAAUUAAAAAAUUAGUGGUAUUUAUUUUUUAAUUUAUAUUUUGUUGGGGCGACAAUAAAUAGAAACAUUUAUGAAAUUGUCUAUAAUUAUAGGGUUUUGAUCCAUUAUUAAUGAUUAUUAGACCAAGUUACCUUAGGGAUAACAGCGUAAUUUUAUUUUAGAGUUCUUAUCGAUAAUAAAGUUUGCGACCUCGAUGUUGGAUUAGGAUUCUUUUAAGGUGUAGCAGUUUUAAAAAGUAGUCUGUUCGACUAUUAAAAUCCUACAUGAUCUGAG